AGAGUUUGAUCAUGGCUCAGAUUGAACGCUAGCGGCAUGCUUAACACAUGCAAGUCGAACGGUAACAGGUCUAGCUUGCUAGAUGCUGACGAGUGGCGGACGGGUGAGUAACGCGUAGGAAUCUACCUAGUAGUGUGGAAUAACCUGGGGAAACCCAGGCUAAUACCGCAUAAGCCCUAAGGGGGAAAGCAGGGGACCGCAAGGCCUUGUGCUAUUAGAUGAGCCUGCGUCGGAUUAGCUAGUUGGUGGGGUAAAGGCCUACCAAGGCGACGAUCCGUAGCUGGUCUGAGAGGACGACCAGCCACACUGGGACUGAGACACGGCCCAGACUCCUACGGGAGGCAGCAGUGGGGAAUAUUGGACAAUGGGCGCAAGCCUGAUCCAGCAAUGCCGCGUGUGUGAAGAAGGCCUGCGGGUUGUAAAGCACUUUCAGUGGGGAGGAAGGCCUUAGUGUUAAUAUCGCUGAGGAUUGACGUUACCUACAGAAGAAGCACCGGCUAACUCUGUGCCAGCAGCCGCGGUAAUACAGAGGGUGCGAGCGUUAAUCGGAAUUACUGGGCGUAAAGGGCGCGUAGGUGGUUAGUUAAGUCAGAGGUGAAAUCCCCGGGCUCAACCUGGGAAUUGCCUAUGAGACUGAGUAGCUAGAGUAGGGGAGAGGGAAGUGGAAUUUCCGGUGUAGCGGUGAAAUGCGUAGAUAUCGGAAGGAACACCAGUGGCGAAGGCGACUUCCUGGCCUACUACUGACACUGAGGCGCGAAAGCGUGGGGAGCGAACAGGAUUAGAUACCCUAGUAGUCC
rnacentral:rRNA from 1 species